AUUGAAUGCUGGCGGCAGGCCUAACACAUGCAAGUCGAACGAGUGGCGGACGGGUGAGUAAUGUCUGGGAAACUGCCUGAUGGAGGGGGAUAACUACUGGAAACGGUAGCUAAUCCCGCAUACCAUCAGAUGUGCCCAGAUGGGAUUAGCUAGUUGGUGGUGUAACGGCUCACCAAGGCGACGGUACCUAGCUGGUCUGCGAGGAUGACCAGCCACACUGGAACUGAGAAACGGUCCAGACGCCUACGGGAGGCAGCAGUGGGGAAUAUUGCACAAUGGGCGAAAGCCUGAUGCAGCCAUGACGCGUGUAUGAAGAAGGCCGUCGGGUUGUAAAGUACUUUCAGCGGGGAGGCGUUACCCGCAGAAGAAGCACCGGCUAACUCCGUGCCAGCAGCCGCGGUAAUUC
rnacentral:rRNA from 1 species